CAGGUCCCGCCCCAUCCUAGUCUACCCUGUUGGGUCCUCUACUCCGUCACUUUCGCGCCCCCCCCCCCCCCCACCCCAUCUUGUCCUGUUCCUUUUCUGCCCCGCUGAGCCCCGCCACACCUUGCCCCGUCCACCCAGUUCCUGUACGAUCCUGUUAGUCCCUGUUUGUUCCUGCCCACUUCUGCCCGGUUCUGCCCGGUUCUGCCUUCUUCCUGUACCGCCCCACUCGGUCUUCUUCCUGUACCGCCCCUGCACACCCUUCUCACGCCUUGCCACGCCCUGCCCUAUCCUACCGGGUCCUGCUCUGGCCUUUCCCAUCACACCCUGCCCUGUCCUGUCCCAUCCUGCUUUGUUCUGUCCCUCCCUGUCCAGUCCGUCUUAGUCCAGCCCCAUUCUGCUUUUGUGCUUCUUUGCGCCGGGCUUCGCGUUACCGGAGCCAAGGCUGUUGUAGGUUCUGCACAACCUGGCUCCUGGACGUCAGCGUUGGGAGGCGGACUGAUGUCGCUAGAGCCCAGCCUGAGCCAGGCCAGAGAUGCAGACUCCUGGUGUAGCUGGCAGCAGUAUGGUCCAGACUCACCGAGAAAGGCGGCUUCGAUGAGCCCCUCCACCGCGCAGACCCCCAGAAAGUGGAGCUAGUGUGGGGGCUGCUCCAGUGAAAUGACCGAUGGCUGAAGCUGCAUCUCUCCAGCCUGGGGGGCUGGCCCCCAUUGUCAGUCAGGUCACUAGAAAAACAGGCAACUCCAGUCGAUUUCAGUUACUGUGGUUCCUUUUGUGAGCUUGAACACGCACAAGUGUUCAUGCACACAUCCUGAUAUCAAAGAAGGGGAAACCCAGGCAGCAAAACCUGGCCCGGAGGAGAAGGGAGAAGAUUUUUCCUCAGUGACUCCUAAACUCCUUGUAGCUGUGUGGGGUGUCUUUGGAGACUGGCUACAGCCUCCCACUUCGGGUCUGAGGAUGUAAGACAGAAAUACCUCCAGUCGACUGAAAGCAUUUGUAAGCAUGUUUGUGUGCAUCUUUUAGUCCGCUGUGUGUUGUCACUGGCGCCUGCUUGGUCCAGCGCUGGGCUGGGCCCUGGGGACGUAGAUGAGUCAGGUCUGCAUGCUGAACCCCGUGCCCAGUGGUGGCCACUCUGGCUGUACCUGUUGCCUUGCCCAGAGUUGUGGGCUGUUCUUUGAGAGAACUCAGUCGGGGCCCCGGUGAGCUGUGGUUCCUGCUUUGUGGCCUGGACACAGACACAGAACCUUUCAUCCUCUGCUCAGUACCUCUUGUCCCCAGACAAGCCUUCCUUAUGGGCAGUGUAUGCACGCCACUGGCUUCCUGUAGGGGCCUACCUCUCCCUGGGACUAGCCACCCAGCUGCUGCUUGCCACAGCGGGCCACCUGAGACUCACCCACCUCCCCCAAUAUUCUCCCACCCCUCCACUGUUCAACAGGCAGCCACACUCCACCUCCACCACUCAGAUUGUAGCUCCAGACCUGGCCUUGUCCUCCAGGCUGCUCUAGUUUCUUAGAAAUUCCUAGUCUUGCCCUUCCUGCUCU
rnacentral:lncRNA from 1 species